rnacentral:rRNA from 1 species
AGCACCACAACGGGUGGAGCCUGCGGUUUAAUUGGACUCAACGCCGGGCAGCUCACCGGAUAAGACAGCUGGAUGAUAGCCGGGCUGAAGACUCUGCUUGACUAGCUGAGAGGAGGUGCAUGGCCGUCGUCAGUUCGUACUGUGAAGCAUCCUGUUAAGUCAGGCAACGAGCGAGACCCACGCCAACAGUUGCCAGCUCGUCCUCCGGGAUGGUGGGGACACUGUUGGGACCGCCUCUGCUAAAGAGGAGGAAGGAAUGGGCAACGGUAGGUCAGCAUGCCCCGAAUUAUCUGGGCUACACGCGGGCUACAAUGGGUGGGACAAUGGGUAUCGACACCGAAAGGUGAAGGCAAUCUCCUAAACCCAUCCGUAGUUCGGAUUGUGGGCUGCAACUCGCCCACAUGAAGCUGGAAUCUGUGGUAAUCGUGUCUCAAAAUGGCACGGUGAAUAUGUCCCUGCUCCUU